rnacentral:rRNA from 1 species
UUCUCGAAUUUAAAAGAGUUAAUUAAUUAAAAAAUUUAUUGUAGCAAAAAUAUUUUUCAUAAUUAAUUAGAAAUGAAAUGUUAAUCGUUUUUAAAUAUAUCUAGUUUUUUUAGAAAAAAAUUUAAUUUUAAAUUAAAUUAAUUAAAAAAUUAAUUAAAAAAUUUUUUAAAAUUUAAAUUUAAUAUUUUAAGGGAUAAGCUUUAAUUUAAAAUAUUUAUAAUUAAAUAUUAAAUUUUUUGAAAAUUUUAAAAUUUAUAUUGUUUAAAAAUUAUAAUUUUUUAUAAAUAAUUUCAUAAAAAAUAAAAUUUAAUUUUAAUUUAAUUUUUUAUAGAAAAAUAAAAUUUAAAAAAAUAAUUUUAGUUAUAAUGAUAAAAUUAGUAUAUAAAUUUUAUUUAAUUAAUAUUAUAAAAUAUUUUUAAAUGAAAAAUUAAUUAUAAGGAAUUCGGCAAAAAUUUAUAUUCACUUGUUUAUCAAAAACAUGUCUUUUUGAAAUAAUUUAAAGUCUAAUCUGCCCACUGAUGAAAAUUGAAGGGCUGCAGUAUUUUGACUGUACAAAGGUAGCAUAAUCAUUAGUCUCUUAAUUGGUGACUUGUAUGAAAGAUUGGAUGAGAUAUAAGCUGUCUUAUUUUUAUUUAUAGAAUUUAAUUUUUU